rnacentral:lncRNA from 1 species
CAUAACAAGGUCAAACAGAGAGUUUAAAAACUAGAAAUAAGUGAACCCACUUGGAUCUCAAGGGGAUGACCGUGAACACCCAUCUUUCUGUCAAUCAUGCAGGAUCCAUCAGUGACUAACAGAGAUGGAAACAUAUCAAAUCCAUCAGCUAAACACAAGUUGAGGAUCAUUUUAAUCCCUGCUUGAAAAUCCUCUCUCUCUUGCAAUGUAUAGUCGCCACUGAUCUUCCCAUAUGCCCUCAACAAUAUAAUCCACCACAGUCCUAUCAGCAGCAUCACCUCAAUCAACUUAAAAGCCACUUUUAGUUAACGGAAAAUAAAGUAGCAAAUAAACUAACCGGAGUCCACUGGUGCAACACGGCCAAUAGCUGAUCCACCAAAAUCUGGAUCUAUCACUUCCUCAAACUUAUUGUCACCAAGAGGUACAGUUCUAACCUUGAAACUUACCGGCAUCAAGCCCUGUCCGGGACUAUAGCAGUCGACAGUUUUCUCCGUACUCUACAUUGAACAUCAAGUUUCAAAUGGAUAAUUAUGCAAGCUUGAUCAGCAAAAAAUAGUAAACCACAUAUCCAUGUGUGUGGAUGUGUCUCAAGCCUCUAGCAUGUGCAAAAGAGGCAUUUACAUAACUAACAAAUUCUCAAAGUUCUACAGUGAUCAAAAGGAAUCUGAAAGGCACAAUGUACCAACUUUAUGUGUGGUAAUAUAGCCAGGGUAACUCUCUGCUUUGUUUGGACCUAAUCCCCUCUCUAGGCAAUCUUAAAGGUGCACUCUCACGUAUGGACUUGGUGCAUUCAGGAUUUUACUCUUGAAGUGUUUCCCCCAAAAAUUGAACCUGGAUUAACCUUAAAUAAACAUAAAAAGAAUACCAAACUAUCAUCAGUUUUUAAUAUGUGAUUGAUGGGUUGAUAUCCUUUCAUAUCUGUACAGUCUGUCUAUGAAUUACAAAUGACAUACUUGUGUGACAUAUAAAUGGUGAUUAAACAUAUAUUCAAUGGAAUUGACCAGAACAAAAAUAAAAAGGAAAUGCACAACUAAUGCUGCUAGAACAUUAUUAUCCAAGAUGACAAAUAAGCCUAGGUACCUGCAACUGCAAAGUAUGGAGGAGAAAAUUCUUGACAAUCUCUCCUUCACCUCUAAGCAAGAAAGCCAAAGCCGAAGGCACGAAAUCGCGAAUGAAAACUUGGUCAUAGUUCAAAGGAUGCUUAUCACCUGGAUCAUUUGAAGCCACGGUACCAAUGGGGAAUCCACAAUACGUCACUACUGCAUCUCUCAACAAACUCCAUGCCUCCUUGUCAAUUUCGCUCUCAUGUGAUGCUCUACUGUUUCCAUAUUCAGCGCCAGGAACUUCUCCUCCAACAAUGUUCUCGUCGUUGCAGUUUUCCACACAAAGUCUCUCGGGAUUCUUGUCGGUUUCAACCGGACUAGCUUCUACAGGGACACCAUAAGGCCUUGAAACCGUACUGUGUAGGCCAAAACUUGAACUUGGUAAGCAAUUCAACUUCUGUGAAUUGUAGAUAACGCCUUGAAAGGCUAAGAAUGGAGAAGGGUACGCGUGGAAUUGAGAGUUUUGAUUGAAACUGAAAGAAGCUUUGCUCUUGCAAGUAAGCUUUUGAUCACAAGGGGUAUUAUACGAAUGUCUGAACUCCACAACUGAUGCGUUCCUGAGGGUUAGGACCCUUGAAGGAAGCUUCAUUGUGGAAUUGCAGAGGGAGCUGAGGUUGUUCAUAUCGACAGCUGAAACUUUAACAAAGAUAUGGAGAUACAGAAGAGUGAAGCAUGAAUAUUUUUUAUGUAUUGUUCUUGUGUUUUGAGAGUUGAAUAAGAAAUGGGUUGAUAGUUUGUGGAGGAAAAAGAGUUUUGAGAGAGAGAGAUUUAUGCGGUUCCUUGAGGAGGGGAAAAGAGAAGGCUGGGAACAUGAAUCAUGUAAUGUAAUGCAUGAAUAUGUUAGAAGGAAAGAGAUUUAUAUAUAUAGUAUCAUUGUAAUGCUAAUAGUAGGCUAAUUUUCUUUCUUCUUUCUCCUUCAUAACAAAAAUGUCUUUUUGGAUAAUUUCUAACAAAAGUUUACUAUUUUUUUGCGGUGAGUGAAAAAAGAUUUGAUUUUAUUUAGAUUUCUAAUAAUGUAAGAUUACAAAAGUUGUAGGAAUAGAUACAAUCCAAUUAACUGGAGAAUGAUAAUUCACAAACUUUUUAGCCAUUCACUGUGUAGCUUAGUUCCCUUUUCUGAAAACGUUAUUAAACUUCACCUUAUGAUACUUUGCAUUGAGUGCAUACAUCAACUCCAAAUUGUGAGAUCUAAUGAUAGUCGAUUCCCAGUAUUUUUUUUAUGAUAAUUAAUAUAUUUCUAAUCUUAAAUUAGUUUUAAUGAUACUCAAAUCUAUAUUUUUGUUCAAAUUUACCCACUUUUCGAGCGAACCUUCAGGCCAAGCCAAAUUUCUCGACCCAUGAUGAGGUCUAUAUCAAACCCUAAACCCUAAUAAGUAACUUUUCUCUCAAGACUUUAGAACUUUUCUUUGAAAGCCGCGAAUAGAACACAUAGCAAAGAAGGUGAAUUGACAUUCGAAAAACAUAUAUACAAUUGGGUGAAAACCAAAUCUUUGUUGGUGUUUUUAUCGUGUAAUUGAUGUCUAUCAAUUGUGAAAUAUCAUAAAAAUUGUUAAUUUCCCUUGUUUAAUGUGGUUGCAGUAAGUUGAAUAAACAUGAAUUCUGUUAGCUGUUAUAUCUUGUGCCUCCUUUGUCAAACUGUAUAUAUGCAAAUUAAGUAUGUGUUUGAGAACUAUAUCCUUUAAGUGUCUUAUGCUGCCUUGUGUAUUGAAGAAUCAAUUAAUCUUUAUGUAGAAACAUUGAUGGACCGGAUAAGUGAACUGCCUGAAAAAUUGUGUGUGUAUAUUUUAUCUUGGCUAUCUGUUGGGGUUAUCAACAACAAAAGACAAAGAACAAAGAAAAAAAUGAGAAACUGAAAAAACAAGAAGAAGCUGGAAAUGUUUUUCAUCAUCCAUUUCAAAAGGAAUUGUUACCUUUAAGUUACAAACUUUACCAAAUACAUAACAACUCCCACUAACAGCAUGGAAACUUAUAAAACAUUUCUUGUACACUUAAACAUUCUGACUUAUCAGCCAAAUCAGUACCUAAACACAAACAUAUCAGCUAACAAGCCUUUAUACAUCAUUAAAACAAGUUACAACUGAACUAGACUAGUUUAUCAUGCAAUUCUAUCAUACUUGCAUGCAACCAUACUUCAGCUGCAUGGUUGUGCAUCAAAAAAAUUCUUGUCGCUGCAUGGCUAGCCACCAUUCAACACUUCUCCUUGGCAUUUAUGCAGUAGACACCAAUAUUUCUCCUCAAUAUUGAACACGUGACAUGUAGUCAAUCUCAUCAUCUGGUUGCAGGACAAAGCCGAUGAAAUUCUAAAGUGGGUUACUAAUGGAGUAUUAGCAGGCUUGACACUUUGCAUAUUGAACAUACAAAGAUCUUUCUCAAUGUACCCUUUCUGACUUACAUACAAUUUACAUGCUUUUCUAUCUCUGAGAAUCUCCAUCCCGGGUAUUUUUUUUGCUGCUCCAAAUCUUUCAUCUUAAAUUCUUUACUAGGCUGGGUUUUGACAUUUCUUAUCUCUUAUUUAUCUUUGGUUGCUAUCAACAUGUCAUCAAUAUAAAGGGGUAGAUAUACAGAUGAACCAUAACAAUUUUUCUUAAAAUAAACACAACUAUCAAAACUACUUCUUUGAAAUCAUGAGUAGUCAUAAAUGAAUCAAACAUCUUGUACCACUACUUAGGUGACUGUUUUAGGCCAUAAAGGGUCUUUUUUCAGUAAGCAAACAAAGUCCUCUUUUCUAAGACUAAAAAGUCCUCUAGUUGUUGCAUGUAAAUAUCUUCCUCAAGUUCUCCAUGCAAGAAUAUUGUUUUCACAUCUAACUACUCAAGUUCCAAAUCAUACAUGGCCACAAUACCAAGCCAGACUUGAAUCGAACUAUGUUUAACAACUGGAGAAAAUACAUAUGUGAAGUAUACACCUGAAACCUGACUGUAACCUUCUUCUUGCAUAGCAAUCAUCCACUUUCUUGAAUCUUCACAGCUAAUUGCCUUGGAAUAAGUAGAUGGUUCUUGAUUUGCAUCUAUAUCUUCAGCCACAUUUAAAGCAUAAGCAACUAGAUCAACCUCGACGAACCUCUUUGAAGGUUUAAUUUCUCUUCUAGGUUUGUUCUUAGCAAUAGAAUAUUAUGUUGCUGACUGUUUUAAAGAAAAACUCUACUAUGAGUUUCUGUGCUAACCUAAUUAGUAGACUCUAUUGCCGAUCUUGGAUCAAUUUGAAGCUCCACGUACUUCACAUAUGUGUUUGAUUUCUACUAGUCUUUAUCAGAAGAGUUUUUAAGAGGUAAAUUAGGUAGCAUAGCAGUUUCAUCAAAAAUAACAUCUUUACUAAUCACAACUUUUCUAUUUUCAAGACACCAUAACUUAUACCCUUUAACACCAACCUUAUAUCCAAGAAAAACACACUUAAUAUAAAUCUAGAUUCCAAAUUACCAUUAUCAACAUGAGCAUACGCAGGACACCUAAAAAUCUUUAAAUCAAAAUAAUCAACAGGAGUACCAAACCAUACCUCUUGUGAAGUCUUUUUCUCGAUGACAAUGGAGGGAGACCAGUUAAUCAAAAAAAUGCAGUAGAGGCGCUUCAGCCCAAAACGACUUUGGUAAACAAGCAUUCGACAACAUACAUCGAACCUUUUACAUGAUUAUUCUAUUCAUUCAUUCUGCAACACCGUUUUGCUGUGGAGUAUGGCUAACUGUCAAGUGUUUUACAAUCCCUUUUGAUUCCCACAAUUCAUUACACUCAUCAUAACAGAAUUCCAAACCAUUAUCUAUCCGGAGGUGUUUUAUCUACCUUCCUGUUUACUUCUCGAUCAUAAUCUACCAAUUCUUAAAUGUGGGCAACACAUCACUUUUCUACUUUAGGAAGAAUGCCCAAACUUUUUUGAAAAAAUCUUCAAUAAUCGUCAACAUAAAAUUAAUGUCACCCCUCCAAGGCACUCUAAAUGGUCCCCAGAGACCAGAAUGAAUAUAAUCUAGCAUGUUCUUCGUGUUCUAGAUUCCUCUGGUGAAUCGAACUUGGAAAUUCUACAAAACAUAUAACUUGGCAGUCUUUCUUUGCCCUUUCAUCACCACGAGGGAACCCUUGCUAAUCUUUAGGACCCCACUUUCAGCUGUGUACUUAUACCCUUUUGAAUCAAGAGUACUCAAUGAAAUCGGAUUUCUUUUCAAUUCUGGCACAUGUCGUACAUCACUAAAUGUUCUUAUGGCUCCAUCGAACAUUUUAAUUUUGAUCAUGCCAAUACCUACAAUUUUACGUGAAACAUUAUUUCUCAUCAAAAUAACACAUUCAGACACUGUUUCAUGUGUUGUAAACCAAUAUUGAUUGAGACUCAUAUAGGAUGUGCAAUCAGAAUCGAGGAUCCACUCAUCGCUCACUUUAGAGUUGAUAGCAGAAGCAACUAGGAGUACACCAUCGAUGUAGUCUUCUAAUACAUUAGCUUCAUCGGAUUGUUUUGGUUAUUUUCCCUUUUGAUUCACAACCUCUCUUUUGAUCUAAUUUUGUAACUUAUAGCACUCAGACUUAAUGUGUCAUUUCUUCUUACAGAAGUUACAUGUUUUACCUUUUUUUGAAUAUCUCGAUCUACCCUUAGAUUUAUUGCCAGGAUUUCGUUUUUGUGUCUUCACACAAUUAUCACUAGUAUUUUAUUUUUUUCUCUUACGAACAAUAAGACCCUCUCCCUGAAAGUUAGAUCCAGCCACAAGAUGUUUCAUCUUGUCAUACGAGGCUAAGGAAUCAUAGACUUUAUUAACUGUGAGAGAUUCACGAUUAUACAAAAUCGUAUCUUUGAAGGUUGAAUAAGACAAAAGCAACGAACAAAGUAGAUUUAACCCUAGAUCUUCUUUAUCAAACUGAACCUCCAUGGCUUCUAAGGCUGACAUAAUUUCAUUAAACACAGUUAAGUGUUCAACCAAAAAUGUACAUUCUUCCAAAAGAUGAGAAUAAAUAUGCUGCUUUAAAUGGAAUUUGCUAGUCAAGGUUUUCGACAUGCAUAGCUGCUUCAGCUUUGCCCAUAAUGUAGCAGCAGUCUUAUCAUUCAACACAUCUUGUAGAAUAUCAUUCGACAGAUGCAGAUGUAAUUACGUUAGAACCUUUCAAUCCUUAUGAUGUUUAUCUUCAUUAGUCAAUGUCGAAUGCAUCUUAUCUACCCCUAGCAGGGCAUCUUUAAAUCUACCUGCGCAAGAACUGCUUGCAUCAUUACCUGUUACAAUGCGAAUCUGGUGUAGUGAUCUAACAGCGAAAUAUCAUACUUCAAUGACACCAUUACUAUGACCAAGACAAGAAACCCAAAAAACUCUUAUAUUAGUUUGUUAUAAUAAACGUUAAUAAAGACGGUAGAAUAAUCACAAAAUAAUAAGAAAAGAAAAAAAGAACACUGAUUUUACGUGGAAACCCUUUCGGGGGGAAAAACCACGAGUAGAGGAGAAGAAAUUCACUAAUGUUAAAAAAUAAUGAUACAAGAGGAGUUUAAACUACAUCUAUUUAAGGGUUGAAAACCUUGUUAUAAUCAAAUUCAAAUAGUAGGAGUAUAGUUUUAUACAGACUCAACUUGUGCAGUAUGGUCUACACAUCUAUACGAACUUGAGCCUAUGGCCCUGACUUCUCGCCCCCACAGAUCCCUUAUUUUUCCAGUGUAUUUAUUUCUUCAACAAGAGAUGAGAUUCAGGUCACACAAACUUUAACAGUAUCCAAUAUUGAAAAUCUUGGUCUUAAUGAAAAACAAACAAUUCCUCUUGAUAUUGGCAAUGGUGAAGAACAAACAAUUCCUUUUUUUUUUUGAUAUUUAUGAUACUAGAAUUUGGGUUAAUCUUGAUAACAAAAUAAUGAAAAUUUUAGUUGAAAAGGGGUCUAUAAGAGAAAUGAAUCUAGAUUUUCCUCUCAAUAAUAAUAGGCAUUUUUCAUAUGCUUAUUUUUCUAGGAAGUUAAGCAUUGGUGAGAUUAAUGAUAGAAAAUGGUUGGUUUAUUGCAAACAUGUUGACAAAGUGUUUUGUUUUUGUUGUAAGUUGUUUAAAUUUAUUAGUAACAAAAGUUUGUUAGCAAAUGAGGGUUUAAGUGAUUAGAGACAUAUUAGAGAGAAACUCAAACAACAUAAAAACAGUGUUGAAUAUAUGACUAAUAUGAAUACUUGUAAUGAAAUGAGAAUAAGGUCGGAUAAAAUUGAAACAAUUGAUAAAAGCUUGCAAGAACAAAUUAUGAAAGAGAAAGAGUGAUGGAGGCAAGUUUUACUUAGAGUAUUUUUAGCUGUGAAAUGUCUUACUACUCAUACUUUGGCUUUUCGAGGAUCCAAUGAAAAACUCUAUCAAGAUAGCAAUGGUAAUUUCCUAGGAUUGAUUGAAAUGAUUGCGAAAUUCGAUGUGAUAAUGCAAGAUCAUGUUAAACGCAUUCAAAACCGUGAAAUUCAUUAUCAUUAUCUUGGGCAUAAAAUUCAAAAUGAGUUGAUUUCCCUUUUAGCCAUUAGUGUUAAAGGCUAUAUAAUUAAGACCAUCAAAGAAGAGAAAUGUUUUUCUAUAAUUCUUGAUGGUACCCCUAAUAUUGGUCAUCAAGAACAAAUGACUGUAAUUGUACAAUGUGUGUAUAUGUCAAAUAAUAAAAUAAAAAUUGAGGAGUAUCUUUUAGAGUUUUUGAAGGUGGAUGAUACAUCUGGAUUGAGACUUUUUAAUGAAUUACAAGAUGUUUUGAAGUCUCUUGAUCUUAAUGUUGAUGAUCUAAGGGGUCAGGGUUAUGAUAACGGUUCCAAUAUGAAAGGGAAGCACCAAGGUGUUCAAAAGCGAUUUCUUGAAAUAAACCCGAGAGCAUUAUAUAUGCCUUGAACUUGUCAUAGUCUGAAUCUUACUCUUAGUGAUAUGUCACAUUCUUGCUUUAGAGCUAUUUCAUUUUUUUGGAAUUUUUCAACGCAUAUAUUCUUUAUUUUUGAGUUCUACAAAAAGAUGAAAAAUUUUGUAACGCCCUUAACUCGAAUUCGUCGCCGGAACAGGGUUACGGAACAUUAUCAGAGUUUACAAAAUUAAUUAUCAGACAUUUCAUUUCAUCUACCAUUCAUAUUAGAAACCAAUCAAAGUUAUACAUAUUGUCCCUUAAACGAGCUCCCGAGGCCCAAAUUAUGCAUUAGAAAUAAAUAAGGACUAAGUCGAAAACUUAGAAAAUUUUUCGAAAAUAUUUAAAAUUUUCAACAUUGCAGGGUCACACGGCCAUGUGGUCAGGCCAUGUGACUCACACGGCCAUGUGGUCAGGCCAUGUGACUCACACGGUUUGGAGACACACCCGUAUCUCAAGCCGUAUGGGCAUCCAAAAUAGGGACACACGGCUGUGUCUUAGCCCGUGUCCGUGCCCAUGUGAGUUUACUAACUUGGGUUAUACGGCCAAGUCAUACACCCGUGUACUAGGCCGUGUGAGCAUUCUAUUUUGUGCAAAUUUAAGAUACAGGGGACAAAUAGCCGUGUCACCUGGCCGUGUGUCACACAUGGUUGAGACACACGCCCGUGUCUUUGCCCGUGUGGACGAAAAUAAGUCAUUUUACAAGCCAUAUUUCUCAUCCAAUUUGUUACUAACCUAGCCCCACCAAAUCACAAAUCUACAAACUAUAAAAUGGUAUUCAACACAAGCUAAAAUUAGUGGCUAAUCUAAAAAAUUUACAUAUAGACCAACAUUAAACAAAAUACCUAUACAUGCCAUUAUGACUAAAAUUAAAACAUUCAAAAAUACCGAUAGCACCGAUGGAUAGUGUGAUCUAUCUCUGACAAGCUUCCAACCUAAUCGAGCUUCCGAUAAUCUGAAAAGUAAAGGAAAACAAUUAUGUAAGCAAUGAAUGCUUAGUACGCUCGUAUAAACUUUAAUCAUAUCAAUUCAUUUUAAAUAAGAAAUUUAUACAUAUCCAGGAUAAUCCAAUAUUGAUACCCCAAUAUUCAUCAAGUAUAUUCAACAACUUUAACUAUUCCAAAUUUCUAAAUUUUCAUUUGCAUUUCUUUACUUUCCUCACUCAUUCCAUAUGCAUAACUCACCAGUCAUAAAUAUACCAUACCACCAUAACCACAAGCUAAUGCAUUUGAACAUAGCCCUUUUUAAAAUUAAUCACAUGAUAAACCAUUUCAUAAGAAAUUGCAUAACUUAAAACUUACUACUCUUUCAUGAGCACAAGUGUAUUUUCAGUUGAGCACUUCCCCUUUCAACACAUCAUAAAAAUAAACAUAUUACCAUUUAACCAGUAACUUGGCACUUGUAUAAUCAUCAACAACAACAUUUGUUAGCAUACUUGAACAUAUUUCAUAUAAAUUCAACAUUGAUAAACUUAUUUUAUCAAUAUAUCACACUUGAGUUUAUUACUCAUUACAAUUUCAAUCGAUGAAUACACUUAUUUCAGAUCAACACCAAUAAUAACCUUAAGUCUUCAAACAUUAAUUUCAUAUGUCACUUAUCAGAUCUUACCAAAUCGGGGAAUGACUUAUGGAUAUGAGUACAUCGUAUUCAGAAGUCCUAAGGCUGCAGAGAAGCACAUAAGUGCUAAACAGAAACCCAUAAGGGCUGAACGGAAGCUCGUAAGAGCUGAACGGAAACCCAUAAGGGUUAAAUUGAAGCUUAAAAGGCUAAACGGAAACCCAUAAGGAUUAAACUGAAGCUCAAAAGAGCUGAACAAAAACCCAUAAAGGUUAAACUGAAACUCAUAUGAGUUAAUAGAAGCUCGUGAGAGCUAAACGGAAAGUAAAUAUGAAAAUUCGCAACAAAUGUUGAACCUCGGUUUACUUGGGUAAUUUGCCGUCAAUUCAUCCUUUGCAUUUUCUGUCAAUUCAUCCUUUUCCAUAGAACGAUUGUACUCAAUCCCGCGUUCCCCUUUAACCGGAUAUUCUUUUCAAUUCAUAAUUUAACAAUAUUUCAUUUUUUUAACAAUAUGCUAAAUACAUAAUAAUUUAACAACAUUCCAUUUUUCAAAAAUAUAUUAAAUACGUAACAUCAUUUUCCAAUUCAAUAUAAUUAUUAAAAUUUAACCAUACGAACUUACCUGAAUUGAAUUGUAAUAAUUGCAGGAGUUUAGGGACUAUUCCACUAUUUUUCCUUUUUCACAAGUAUCUACGAAAUCUUGAUCUAAAAUAUAAAAUUACUUAUUCAUUAGCAUAUAUUUCAGUUUCAAUUUAUUUUACAAUUUAUACCCUUCAAUUUUUUGAAUUUACACAAUUACCCCAACUUUUACAACUUUUACAAUUUAGUCCCUUAACUAGUUAAUCUAUCAAAUCAACUAAUUUUUCUCAAUUAAUAAUUUAUGAAAAUAUUCUAGGAUAUCAUACAACCCUUAAUUAAAACAUAAAUUUAAUACCAAACCCUAAUAUUUUAACUAUUUUCAUAAUUUGAUACUAACAUUAUUAUUUAACAAAAUCACUUUAUAAUAUCAUCAUACAACAAAAUUAAAGUUCUAAACCCACUUGAUAUUAAUAAUUUAUUUCAAUAUAUAUUAAUUUAGACAGUAAAAGAAUCCAUUUCAUACAAUUUGGUCAUUUUUGACAUUUUUACAAAAUUGCCCCUAAAAUUUUACUUUUAUUCGAUUUAGUCCCUAAACCUAAAACAUGCAAAUUAGCCAUAUUUAAUGUAAACUCAUGCUAGCUAAAUAUUCAUUUAUUUUCCUCCUCCUCCUUUCCAUUCCACAUACUUAAUGUAUAUAACAUGCUUAUAUUUAAUAUUAUCUAUAAUUCCACUAUUUACUUAUGUUCAUAUCAAAGCUGUCCACUUGAGUCAUAAUCACUAAAUUAUUUAUAUCUUGAGCUACAGAAUUCUAAAUUAAGAUCCUCUUGAUGUUUUUGGAACUAUACUCAAAUAUCUUUUUACCAUAAAAAUUUCAGAAUUUAAUAUUUAGCUAAUAAGUAUAGUAAAAUCUUCAAAUUUAUCCCUAUUCUGCAAUUUGACAGCUUCGACCUUUCUUUACUAAAAAUUAAUUAUCUCUUAGUACGGGGUUUGGAUGAUGUUUCUAUUUGUUUCUCUUGAAAAUAGUUAUGACCUUUAGUGAAGAUUGUUAGAGCAAAAUUUCUGAACGGGAUUAUUACGAAAAUUAUGAGUUUUAGGUCUUUAAUUCGAGUUUAAAUCAUAUUGGGUUCGGAUUUUAGGCUUAAUUUUUAUUAUAUUUGAGUCCAAUAUUGUAUUUAUCGGCUCUUAUUAUUUUAUUUUUAAUCUAAUUUUUUAUAAUUAUUAAGUAUUUUAAGUUAUUUAGGAGUUUUAUGUUAAGAAAAUUUAGUUUAAAUAUUUAGGUUAAUUAAAGUUCUAGUAUACUUAAUAGUUUUAUUUAGAUUUAUUUAGUUAGCCUAUAUAAAGACCUUUGCAUUGUACACAAUUAAAUCGAAAUUCAUUAUUUCAACAACUUUUCUUUUGAAUUAAUAAAUUCUCUUUGAAUUUUUCUUUUAAAGAAUUUUUCUUAAGUUUUCUUUUGAGUUUUAGCAAUCUUUUCAAAUUGUGCGGAUAAUUUUCAAUUUUUUUCCUAAGUUUUAUUUUUCGGAAGGGAAAUUAGAGUCGCUUAAAGAGAGUUGUGGAUUCUUCUUAUUUUCAAGGCUCCUUAGGACUUCUACACAUCACGUUCCAUCUUUUUCAUCUAUCUUCUUUAUUUUCUUUUUUAUUGUCUUUUCUAUUAUUCUAGUAUUUGAUUUAUUGUUCUAUUUUAUUUAUUUAUUUUAUUUAUUUUAAUUCUUUUCUUUAAUUUUUUUUGUUAUUUGAUUUAGAUUCGCUUACGUUUCAAGUUGUGUCAAAAUUCAAAUUUUUUUCGAACGUUUAGAGCAGCAAGUCAAAUUUGCGACUUGCGACUUGAAAACAAAAAGAAUCUACAACCCCCUUCAAGUGGAUCUAAUUUCCCCUCCAAAAAAAAACUUAGUAGGAAAAAAUUUGAAGAUCACCCCACAAUCUGAAAAGAUUGUUAAAACUCUUCUAAAAGAAAAUUCAAAAAAAUUCUUUAAAAGAAAAACUUAAAGAGAAUUUAUUAACUCAAAAGAGAAGUUGAAUAAUGAUGAAUUUUUAUUUAAUUGUGUACAAUGUAAAGGCUUUUAUAUAGGCUAGCUAAAUAAAUCUAAAUAAAACUAUUAAGUAUACUAAAACUUUAAUUAUCCUAAACAAAAAGUAGUUUUAAACUAAAUUUUCUUAUUGACAUGAAACUCGUAAAUAACUUAAAAUACGUAAUAAUUAUAAAAAAAAUUUAAAAUAAAAUAAUAAAAUAAUAAGAGCUGAUAAAUACAAUAUUAGGCUCAUAUAUAAUAAAAAUUAAGCCUAAAACCCGAACUCAAUAUGAUUUGAACUCGAAUUAAAAACUCCAAACUUGUAAUUUCUAUAAUAAUCUCAUCCAGAAAUUCUACUUGCGCAGUCUUUACUAAAACAGUCAUAACUUAAGCUCCCGAACUCAAAAUCUAGGGAUUCAAAGUGCAUUUUGAAGGUAAGAGAUAGAUAUUCAACCGCUAUUCAGACAUCUAAGCCCAUAAAUUCUUGGAUCUCAUUCAAAAAUUCGUCACAAGUUGACUAAUCUUUUCAGUUUGAAGAUCAGUAGUUUAGUUGAAUUGACUUUAAUAAAUUUCACACAUGUACCAUUCCCCCUUUCUUCGAAAAGAUUCAUCCUCACAUAUUAUUUUUGAUCGAAUCUUGGUUUGAAUUACUUAGCCUUUGACCUUGUUAUUGAGCCUUGAGGUAGUGUAUGUCCAUCACAUCCAUAGGUCUGAAAAUCAGGCCUUGAGGAUUGCAUCACACUCUCUCUACCGUUUUCAAAUCCAUGAUUAGUUCGUUUCAAAAACCACUAAAAAUCCAUGAAAACAAAACUAAACUCUUGAAUUACUCAAACUCUAAUAUCCUUUUUCAAUCGUCAGAUCAUCUUCGAUUUUCGAUAUGUGUUUCCUCUUGCUGAGGUCUCUCCUUUCACUGUUCGAAUUCUCUCAUUAUUUUAGGUUUAAUUUUAGGCUCACAUAUAAUAAAAAUUAAUCACAUGUUUUUCAAGAAAAAUCCCUUGAAUUGUUUCAAGAUUUUUCCUAAAUUAUUUAAACUACAAAUCUUAAAAUCAUUUAAUCACGCGUCUUUGUUUUUGACUAUUUGAUUAUUUUCACCAUUUGGGCUUUGGGCAUCAUCAUUUUUUAUUGUUUAGUGUAUCAACUAUUUGAUUAAUAUUACUGCUACCAAAGCAAAGAUUUCAACUUAGAGGUGAAUAAGAGGGGAACAAACAGGUGCCUUGAGCACUCUAAAAUAGAAAAUUACAGUUCUAGUUAUUUUUAAAGGAUUAAAUUAUAAAUUAGUAUAAAGUAAAGCCUCUAAAAAAUACUAUUUAAUAUCUCUUUUUUUAUGUAAAAAAAACAAAAAAACCAAUCAAACCAGACACAAGGACAACAUAUAACAGUCCUUAUGUUCCUGAUGAUAAAACAUCUGUCCAUUUCAAAAAUGGAAGGACAGAUCAAAUACAUACUACAAACAAGAAAAAAAUUGAACACAAUUACAUUCAUUCCUACACUGCUUUAGCUUAGGUGGAUUGUAUUGUAUUACUAUGUAUCGUCACCAAAUUAAGCAGCGGAAGGGGCGUUAAUACGGUGAACAAAGCCGCCGGCCUUUGACAAAGCUGCCAAAAGCAGUUGUAGGCCGCUUUGCUUAUCCUCAUCAGCUUCUACUGCUUGGCUAGAAGCUACGACAUUGUUGUAGUCAAGUGACUCAUCAUCGUAAAUCUCCCACCAUUUAGCCACCAGCGUCUUAAUGUCUUCCCUGUCCAUGUUGUCUUCUUUGCCGGUAUACCUCCAGAAUUUGGAGCCAGCAGCACAGUAGUGAACCACCUUGGCCUUGUCUAGCUCAAUGUUCUCAGGUGGCGUCAUAGCAUGGCCAUCACCAGGUUGUAAAUAGGAGGGAUGGGCCUGUAAAUGUCCCUAAAGUACAUGUUCAGAUAAUCCUACUCCGCAAAUGGGGCAGGAGGGGUGACUUUGAGGGUAGUCAAGAGGUCCACAUAUGUAGAAAGGCUAGGUUCAUAUACAAACAUUCCAGCGUUGAAGUAAAGAGGAGGUUUAGGACCAAGCUGCGAAGGCCAUUGGACCUUAUCAGGGCACUGCUACCUUUCCCAGGGUUUAAUGUGGAAACUGUGGAAUAUAAGAACAUUAGCUUCACCGUUUAGGAUGUUGGAGGUCAGGACAAGGUAAUAUUACGGGAACCCGAAAAAUGUUGCAGAACAAACCAUAAUUAGUCAUCAUUUUACCAUUAUAUUGUUUCCCUGGGUCUUAUUGCUUGAUGGAACAUGAUAUUUUACCCUGGGUAAACUGUACAAUACAUUGAUGUUUCAACUAAUGGAUAAGCUUAGGGACGAUUUUAUGCUCAUGGCAUCAGCAUAUAAGAUAAUCAUAAUCUACAUCUACUAAUGCCACCUCGUCUUUCUAGUUUAUCCUUUGGUGGUAUGAGGAGAGGUUAUCCAUGUCGUGGCUAUUGCAUUAUUCGGCAUCUUACCUUUAUUGUAUGCAACACAUUCCAAUUUUACUUCUCAAUGAUUCAAAUCGAGCAGCCCCUAAGGGCUUGGUCAGUAUGUCAGCCAAUUGUGCUCUUGAGCUACAAUGCACAAGGCUGACUUCCCUUGUUUGCUCAGCUUCUCGAACAAAAUGCAACUUAAUUUUAAAGUGUUUAGUUUUACCAUGGAACACAGGGUUCUUAGCUAUGGCAACUGCUGACUGGUUGUCCACCCAAAGUUCAGUUGCAUCAGCUUGUGUUUCAUUAAGAUCCUGAAGUAACUUCCUAAGCCAAAUGGCCUGAUUGACUGCUGCUGCUGCAGCAAUGUACUCUGCUUCAGCUGUGGACUGAGCAACAGUUUGUUGUUUCUUUGAACUCCAGCAAAACAUGUCUGAUCCAAGUGUGAAGAAGUAUCCAGAGGUACUCUUCAUGUCAACGAGGGAUCCUGCCCAGUCACUGUCUGAGUAACCUUCUAGUUUCAGUUCCUUCCCACUUUCAAACAUCACACCAAAGCUAGCAGUGCCUUUGAUAUAUCUAAGGACCCUCUUUGUAGCCUUCAAAUAUGCCUUAUUACAACAGUUCAUGAACCUAGAUAGCAGACUAACACUAAACAUGAUGUCUGGCCUGGUUGCAGUCAAAUAUAACAGGCAACCUACUAGGCUUCGAUAGUGCCUCUCAUCAACUCUCUACUGAUCUCCACUGCUUGUCAACUUUUCUCCUUGAGCCACUGGUGUGCUGACUGCUUUACAGUUAAGCAUGCAAAAUUUGCCUAGAAUCUUUAAAGCAAAUGUUUGUUGGCUGAUGAAGAUGCCUCGAUCAAACUGGUGAACUUCUAUGCCAAGGAAGUAUGUCAUGACCCCCAAAUCAGUCAUCUCAAACACUUGCUGCAUUUGAAGCUUGAAUUCAUCAAUGAGUUCAACUUUUUCCCUGUCACCAACAAGUCAUCCACAUACAAGGAGACAAUCAGCAAGGUUUCAACUUCUGACCUCUUAACAUACAGGGUAGGCUCACUAAGACUCUUCACAAAUCCAAGCUUGAUCAGGUAAGCAUCAACUCUGUCAUACCAGGCCCUUGGUGCCUAUUUCAGGCCAUAAAGGGCCUUUCUCAGCCUGUACACUUUAUCUUCAUGUCCAGCAACUUCAAAACCUUCUGGUUGCUCAAUGAAGAUCUCCUCCUUAAGAAAGCCAUUUAGGAAUGCUGACUUUACAUCCAAUUGGUGAACCCUCCACUGCUUCUGAGCUGCUAAAGCAAACAAAAGCUUGAUUGUCUCCAGUCUUGCUACUGGAGCAAAUGUCUCCAGGAAGUCCACCCCAUAUUGCUGACUGUAGCCCUUCACCACAAGCCUUGCCUUGUGCUUGUUCAAUGAGCCAUCAGCAUUGUACUUGGCCCUGUACACCCAUUUAACUCCUAUGACCUUCUUGUGUUCUGGUCUGCUCACCAAUUCCCAUGUUUGAUUUUUGUUGAUCAUUUCCAGCUCAGCCUCCAUAGCUUUCAUCCAGUUCCUGUCCUUGGCAGCCUCUUCAAAAUCUGAAGGCUCAAUCUCAGCAACAUUACACCUCUGAUAGACAUCAGCCAAAGUUCUGGUGCCCCUCACUAGUGUAUCAUCAACAGCAUCAUCACUCGAUCCUUCUUCUGUAGGUUUAGCAACCAAGUCUAACUGGUCCAUUUCAGACAUGUCAGCUUCAGCACCAUUCCAAUUCCACACCUUUUCUUCAUCAAAUUUUACAUCCCUGCUGACUAAAACCUUCUUUGCUGUAGGAUCAUACACUCUAUAACCCUUCUUAUUGCUGCUAUAGCUAACAAAGAUUCCUGGAGUUGCCCUGCUCUCGAGCUUGGUUCUCUUUUCCACUGGAACAAGAGCAUAACACACACAACCAAACACUUUCAGGUGUGUUACCACUGGUUUGGCUUCAUGUCAAGCUUCAAAAGGAGUCUUAUCCUUGACUACUCGAGUUGGCAGCCUGUUGAGCAGGUAUACUGAGGUGUUAACUGCCUCAACCCAAAACUGACUUGGAAGCUUGCCAUGAAACAAUAGGCACCUGUCCAUGUUCAGCACAGUCCUAUUUUUCCUCUUACAGACACCAUUCUGUUGAGAAGUAUAGAUUGUAGUAAGCUGAUGGUGAAUCCCAGCACUAUCAUAAAGCUUCUGAAAUCUCUCAGACACAUAUUCAGAGCCAUUAUCAGUCCUCAAGGCUCUAUCAUAUGCCUGACUGAUUUUCAGCAUAUGCCUUAAAUUUGCAGAAGGCCUCAAACACUUCUGACUUUUGCUUCAAGAAGUAGACCCAACACAACCUUGUUAAAUCAUCUAUAAACAGGACAAAGUACCUGUUCUCAUUGAUUGAAGGUGUUCUCAUACGGGCACAGACAUCAGAGUGCACCAAUUCGAGCUUAUUUUGAGCUCUCCAAGCACUUUCAGCAGGAAAAGGCAGUCCAGCCUGCUUACUAAGCUGACAAACCUCACAAACAUUCCCACUAGCCUCAAUUUUUAAAAUGUCAUCAACCAAAUUCAGUUUAUGCAACAGAUCAAUAGAUCUGAAAUUGGCAUGACCUAGUCUUCUAUGCCACAAGUCAGUGCUAUCAACAAGGCUGGUGUAUGCCUUUCUUUCCACUUGGCUAACAUCCAGCAUAAAGCACCUAUCAGUCAUAGAGACUGUGACUAACUCUUGACCAUGCAUAUCUUGAACACUACAGCAGCCAUCUUUAAAAACCAAUGUAUAGCCAUUUUCAACUAAUUGGCCUACACUAAGCAGGUUCUGGUCUAAGUCAGGUACAAAAAGCACAUCUGAGAUCAGCUUGUUACCUGAACCAGUGCUAACCAACACAUUACCCUUGCCCUUAGCCUCAAUCAGCUUGCCAUCCCCAAUUCUGAUCCUCGAGUGGAAGCUUCUGUCUAGGCCCUUGAACAGCUUCUCAUCUGCUGCCAUAUGGUGUGAACAACCAUUGUCUAGCAGCCAAUCAUUGUUGGCCUUUGUUGUGCCAACAAAGCAGGUUGCAAUAAAUACAUGCUCCUCCUGAGCUUGCAAAUCCUCAGCAGGUCGAGCUUGUUGCUGAGUGGUUUCCUUUGGCUUGCCCUUGCAUACCUUCUCCACAUGACCAAACUGCUUGCACUUUCUACAUUGUAUGUCUGGCCUAAACCAGCAGUAUUUUUCUGAGUGUGUUGUCUUCUUGCAGUGAACACAUGGUGGGAAAACCCUUUUUGCUUCAUCUCUUCCUGACUUGGCCCUUCUAUUGUGCCAAGGCUUUUUGCCUUUUGUACUCACACUCGAGCCUUCACUGGCUUUAACCUGGAAAGCAGCCUCAGGAUUCUCCUCCUGCCUAUUUGCCCUCAUUUGCUCAAGUGCAUACAGAAAGUUUAUCAGCUCAGACAAUGAAAUGGCUGAUAAGUCCCUCGAGUCCUCAAGUGAAGAGAUUUUUUACUCAAAUUUCUCAGGGAGAGUUGUGAUGACCUUUUCAACAACUCUGCUCUCUGUGAAAUCCACUCCCAAGAGCCUUAUGCUGUUGACAAUGGCCAUUAUCCUGUCUGAGUACUGCUUGAUGGUCUCAGACUCUUUCAUCCUCAAAUUCUCAAAGUCUCUCCUGAGAUUGAUCACCUGCUGUUGCCUUGUCUUAUCAGUCCCCAUGAACUCCUCCUUCAGCUUCUCCCAGGCCUGCUUUGGUGAGUCGCAGGCCAUGAUGCGAGUGAAUAUCACAUCAGAGACUCCAUUUUGCAAGCAGGUCAUAGCCUUAUGCUUCUUGGCUCUCUCCUCAGCAUGCUGCCUCAUCUGUGCAAUGGUGGGAUUGGCCCUCAAUGGAGGUGGUUCAGCUUCAUUAUCGAUUACACUCCAGAGAUCGUGUGCCUGGAGGUAAGUCUUCAUUUUGACUAUCCAAAUGUGAUAGUUUUCUCCAGUGGUGGAGGUGGUGGAGUGAAACUCAUUUUGCUAGACUGAGUUCAAAGGCCUCGAUCACUUCUAAAUUUUAGCUUUGCUUUUGGUUUGAAAAAUAACAGAAUGCAUAGGCCCCUCAAAGAUUCAGGCUCAUGAUACCAUUUGUUGGAACAUUGGCAGCAUCGAGCAAACAAAUUUACCAAGCAGAAGCAAGAUUGAUCGAAGCAAAAAAAAGAAAAAAGAAAAAUUGGCAGAGCAGCAAAUGAAACUUGAAUGUACAGCAGGAAAAUUGUAACUGAACAUCACGAUUUUCAUUCAAAUUUUGAAAAUAUAAAAGAGUUACAUUUUUUGCUUAAUUUGACAGUUACCUAAUGACACAACUGCUCUCACUUAACUAAAACUAAUACAAACUUAAACAAUCUACAAAGAUAAGCUGACAUACUAGCUUUUACAUCAAAAAUCAAGUCACAAACUUAAUCCUACUAACUUUGAGAGUUAGUUACAAUUGGACUAAGCUAAAUAACAUUACAACAAAAUAGCUAAAAACUGAUUGCUUUAUUCGGUCCAAAAAUCAACCUUGCAUGCCAAGCAAAAACAGUUGAGCUCGAUAGCUGCUGUUGAUCUCGACAGUGGUUGGCGCCAUGUUGCAUUGCAGUCCAGCUCUCAACACUUGCAUUUGCCUGUUUCUUAAAAUUUAGGAGUGAAAUAUCUCGAGUCUGAUAGCAUGUCUUGUUCUAAUGGCUUUAUGGGAACUUUCAGAUUCGACCUUUGUGGAGGCACUACUUCCAAAAUACUCGGGGGCUAAUCUUUGUUGUGGAUAGCAAUGAUCGUGAUCGUGUUGUUGAGGCCAGGGAUGAGCUUCACCGUAUGCUAAAUGAGGUGCCAGUUUGCUUCUUUGAACUUUGUUGGUUUGGUUUCUCUGUUAACUUGAAAUUUUCAAUAAUGAGGUCUACAUGUAGCUGUUAUGCAUGUGUAAUUACUAUUUUCAAUUAUUUUGUUGCUUAUAAUAUGUGUAGGAUGAGCUGAGGGAUGCUGUGCUGCUUGUAUCUGCAAACAAGCAAGAUCUACCAAAUGCUAUGAAUGCUGCUGAGAUCACUGAUAAACUUGGUCUUCAUUCCCUCCGUCAGCGCCACUGGUAUAACCUUUUCCCUGUUUGUUUAUUUCUAGAUUGGUCUGCCAGUUGUCUGUUCUGUUUUAAAAUCUCUCUUGUGAGUCACAGGUAUAUUCAGAGUACAUGCGCUACCUCUGGUGAAGGGUUGUAUGAGGGUCUGGACUGGCUCUCGAACAACAUAGCUAACAGGUAGGUUCAGACUGAUACGUGUGUCUUUUAUUGAUAUUGUUCUGUUCUAAUUCUCGCUGCCAUUCAUUGUAUUUUUCCUAGGCUUGAGGUGGUUGGUAGAAGGUCGGUGACAUUUACAUUUGGGGUAGCAAUCUUUGUGGAAUUCGGAUAUGUAUAUUUCUAUUUUAUGAUACGUUGCGUUAUUGGGGUUUUGUUUUUUUGUUUUUGCUCGACAACUUUUAAAUGAAAUGGAUGAGCUUGUGUUUAGAUAUGCUUUGUAGAUGGAAUUCAUUGUUCAGAGUUAAUUAACGAAUUCAUUGUUGACAUUUCAUAGUAACAUGUUACAUUUUAUGUGUUUUACUUGUUCCAUUAUCAAUACUAUGUUGAUUCUCGUUUGUCCAAGAAAAGUUUUAAGCAAGUUGAGCUGAGGUGGGAAGAGUGAGGCCAUUUCAUUUUAUUUUGCAUAAGGUUUUAACUGUUAAAAAAGUCUCCUUCACUUCUUAGGAUCUCGGCCAUUUCACAUGUUUAUACCUUAGAGACAUUAAAGUAGUUUUGUUUUGGACAAUGUGACUGGUUUG